CCCUUAGAUGUUCUGGGCCGCACGCGCGCUACACUGAUGCAUUCAACGAGUCUAAAACCUGCUCUGAUAGGGGUGGGUAAUCUUUUGAAUGUGCAUCGUGAUUGGGAUAGAUGACUGCAAUUUUUCAUCUUCAACGAGGAAUGCCUAGUAAACGCAAGUCAUCAGCUUGCAUUGAUUACGUCCCUGCCCUUUGUACACACCGCCCGUCGCUCCUACCGAUUGAAUGAUCCGAUGAAUAUCAUGGAUUGAGGAUGCAAGUAGGUUAGCCUAUCUUCAUCUUCGAGAAGUGAAGUAAAUCUUAUCAUUUAGAGGAAGGAGAAGUCGUAACA
rnacentral:rRNA from 1 species